GAUGAACGCUAGCGGCAGGCUUAAUACAUGCAAGUCGUGGGGCAGCAUGAAUGUAGCAAUACAUUUGAUGGCGACCGGCAAGCGGGUGCGGAACACGUACACAACCUUCCUAUAAGUGGGGGAUAGCCCAGAGAAAUUUGGAUUAAUACCCCGUAACAUAAUGAUGUGGCAUCACAUUAUUAUUAUAGCUUCGGCGCUUAUUGAUGGGUGUGCGGCUGAUUAGAUAGUUGGCGGGGUAACGGCCCACCAAGUCUACGAUCAGUAGCUGAUGUGAGAGCAUGAUCAGCCACACGGGCACUGAGACACGGGCCCGACUCCUACGGGAGGCAGCAGUAAGGAAUAUUGGUCAAUGGACGCAAGUCUGAACCAGCCAUGCCGCGUGAAGGAUUAAGGUCCUCUGGAUUGUAAACUUCUUUUAUCUGGGACGAAAAAAGGCGAUUCUUCGUCACUUGACGGUACCAGAUGAAUAGGCACCGGCUAACUCCGUGCCAGCCGCCGCAGUAACAC
rnacentral:rRNA from 1 species